CUCUGGAAACCUGCAUGCCCUGAGUGAUCUCAAAGUCUGGUAACUGUUCUUGCGGUCCUGUUUGCACAGGAACAGAAAUUCAUUUCAAAGUGCAGCCAGUGCCAACAGGGGAGAGUGGGCAGAGAAAUCAAAUGAAAAUGCCAAAACGCUGACUACACGGCCAGUUUGCAUCAUGUGAACCACUUUGGAGCCUGAGGACAGAAACCAAAAAUAUGCUUCUGUUCAGAGGCGGCUAACAGCACUAGUGUUAUUAUUGUUAUCAUCAUCAUCACCACCAUCAUUCGUCCAUAAAUUUAAAACUGAUGUGUGAUGAGCUGCCGUGUAUCAAGGAACUGAUGUCUUCAGCCAACAAGCAGCUAGAAUCUGAGGGGUUGAAACAGCCACAUGAGUGAGCUUGGAAGUUGGAACUUAUUGCCUGAGUCAAGCCUUGAGAUGACUACAGCCUUGGCAGACAUCAAGUGCCUGAGCCAGAGGACCCAGCUAAGCCACUCUCAGAUUUCUGACCUACAGAAUUCGUGUGAUAAUAUUAAUACAUGUUUAUUGUUUUAAGUUGCUGAAUUUGGGGGUGGGUUGUCACACAGUCAUAGAAAACUGAUACAGUUGGAAAUAAUUUUGAAAGGUGAAAGGCAUAGUAUGAAAUCUGAUUCUGUGGUAUGGAGGGGUUUCAAAGACUGGCAGAACAAUUUGGACAUGGUACAGAAGCCAUUGAAAGCUCUUUCUCUCAUAGCUUUAUGGAGAUAUAAUUCACAUACAAUAUAAUUGUCAUUUAAAAUGUACAACUCACUAGUUUUUAGUAAGUUAGCAGAGUUGUGAAAUCAUCACCACAAGCUAUUUUCAUACACUUUGAUCUGCCCCCAAACAAAGCCCAUACCAAUUAGCAGUCAUACCCCAUUUUGUCCCAAGCCCUAGACAACUUCUCUACUUUUUGUGUCCAACAAAUUUUCCUAUUCUGGACAUUUCAGGCAGAGUAAUAAAAUACAUGGCUUUUUGUGUCUGCUUCUUUUACUUAGCAUAAUACUUUAAGGUUUAUUGGUGUUGUAGCAUGUGUCAGUAUAUUUGUUGCUUUUUAUCGCCAAAUAAUAUCCCAUUUUACUAAGAGACCACACUUUGUUUAUUCGUUGGUCACUUCAUGGAUGUUUGUGUUGUUUCCAAAUUUUGGCUAUUAGAAAUUAUGCUGC
rnacentral:lncRNA from 10 species